rnacentral:rRNA from 1 species
CAGUAGCCACGGUAAUACAGAGGGUGCGAGCGUUAAUCGGAUUUACUGGGCGUAAAGCGUGCGUAGGCGGCUUCUUAAGUCGGAUGUGAAAUCCCUGAGCUUAACUUAGUAAUUGCAUUCGAUACUGGGAAGCUAGAGUAUGGGAGAGGAUGGUAGAAUUCCAGGUGUAGCGGUGAAAUGCGUAGAGAUCUGGAGGAAUACCGAUGGCGAAGGCAGCCAUCUGGCCUAAUACUGACGCUGAGGUACGAAAGCAUGGGGAGCAAACAGGAUUAGAUACCCCUGUAGUCCCUGUCUCUUAUAC